rnacentral:lncRNA from 1 species
CGUUAAAUGUGCUACAGAGACACAGACUUGUAUCCAACAUUUCAGAGGUAGUCAGUAUGCAGCAGGAAAACAAAAUAAAACGCAGGCUGAAAUGGGUGGGAUCCAAGGAAUCAAAGCAGUAGAUGGACGACCAGGAGCACCCCAGGUUAUCUUCAGGAAACAGAGCGACAAAACGCAAAGUGAAAGCAUUAAGAUAAGCAGCAUUCCACUAUAAAUCUUACACAAAAUGCCACA